UACGAAGGGGGCUAGCGUUGUUCGGAAUCACUGGGCGUAAAGCGCUUGUAGGCGGAUCGUUAAGUCAGGGGUGAAAUCCCGAGGCUCAACCUCGGAACUGCCUUUGAUACUGGCGAUCUUUGAGUCCGGGAGAGGUGGAGUGGAACUCCCGAGUGUAGAGGUGAAAUUCGUAGAUAUUCGGAAGAACACCAGUGCCGAAGGCGGCUCACUGGCCCGGUACUGACGCUUAAGAGCGAAAGCGUGGGGAGCGAACAGG
rnacentral:rRNA from 1 species